rnacentral:rRNA from 1 species
AUUGAACGCUGGCGGCAGGCUUAACACAUGCAAGUCGAGCGGGGAGAUGUAGCUUGCUACAUUUCCUAGCGGCGGACGGGUGAGUAAUGCUUAGGAAUCUGCCUAUUAGUGGGGGACAACAUUCCGAAAGGAAUGCUAAUACCGCAUACGCCCUACGGGGGAAAGCAGGGGAUCUUCGGACCUUGCGCUAAUAGAUGAGCCUAAGUCAGAUUAGCUAGUUGGUGGGGUAAAGGCCUACCAAGGCGACGAUCUGUAGCGGGUCUGAGAGGAUGAUCAGCAACACUGGUCCUGAGAACAGGCCCCGACUCCUUCGGGAGGCAGCAGUGGGGAUUAUUGGACAAUGGGCGAAAGCCUGAUCUAGCCAUGCCGCGUGUGUGAAGAAGGCAUUUUGGUUGUAAAGCACUUUAAGCGAGGAGGAGGCUACUUGGAUUAAUACUCUAGGCUAGUGGACGUUACUCGCAGAAUAAGCACCGGCUAACUGUGUGCCAGCCGCCGCAGUAA